AACGAACGCUGGCGGCAGGCUUAACACAUGCAAGUCGAACGCCCCGCAAGGGGAGUGGCAGACGGGUGAGUAACGCGUGGGAAUCUACCCAGUCCUACGGAACAACUGAGGGAAACUUCAGCUAAUACCGUAUACGCCCUACGGGGGAAAGAUUUAUCGGAAUUGGAUGAGCCCGCGUUAGAUUAGCUAGUUGGUGGGGUAAUGGCCUACCAAGGCGACGAUCUAUAGCUGGUCUGAGAGGAUGAUCAGCCACACUGGGACUGAGACACGGCCCAGACUCCGACGGGAGGCAGCAGUGGGGAAUAUUGGACAAUGGGCGCAAGCCUGAUCCAGCCAUGCCGCGUGAGUGAUGAAGGCCUUAGGGUUGUAAAGCUCUUUCAGUGGGGACGAUAAUGACGGUACCCACAGAAGAAGCCCCGGCUAACUUCGUGCCAGCCGCCGCAGUAAAAC
rnacentral:rRNA from 1 species